rnacentral:misc_RNA from 1 species
AUGAAUGAAUGUAGAGUCGGUUGUAGCUGGCCUCCCCGAGGCAUGUGCACGCCUUCUCUUUCAUCCACACACCCCUGUGCACUUGUGAGACGGAGGCGUUUUCCUUUAAUCGGGAUGGCCUCCGUCUGCUAUCACAUAAAAUCUAAUUUAUUUAAAACUGAAUGUAAUUGAUGUAACGCAUCUAAUAC